rnacentral:rRNA from 1 species
AUUGAACGCUGGCGGCGUGCUUAACACAUGCAAGUCGAUCGGUAACAGGUGUAGCAAUACAUGCUGACGAGAGGCGGACGGGUGAGUAAUGCUUGGGAAUCUGCCUAUUAGUGGGGGACAACCCGGGGAAACUCGGGCUAAUACCGCAUACGCUCUACGGAGGAAAGCCGGGGACCGCAAGGCCUGGCGCUAAUAGAUGAGCCCAAGUCGGAUUAGCUAGUUGGUAGGGUAACGGCCUACCAAGGCGACAAUCCGUAGCUGGUCUGAGAGGACGACAGCACACCGGAACUGAGACACGGUCCGGACUCCUACGGGAGGCAGCAGUGGGGAAUAUUGGACAAUGGGGGCAACCCUGAUCCAGCGACGCCGCGUGGUGAAGAAGGCCUGCGGGUUGUAAAGCCCUUUCGGUGGGAAGAAAAGUCUCGACCUAAUACGUCGGGACC